rnacentral:rRNA from 1 species
GACGAACGCUGGCGGCGUGCUUAACACAUGCAAGUCGAACGGAAAGGCCUAGCUUGCUGGGUACUCGAGUGGCGAACGGGUGAGUAACACGUGGGUGAUCUGCCCCUGACUUUGGGAUAAGCCUGGGAAACUGGGUCUAAUACCGGAUAUUCAUUUUUCCUCGCAUGGGGCUUUGUGGAAAGCUUUUGCGGUUGGGGAUGGGCCCGCGGCCUCUCAGCUUGUUGGUGGGGUAAUGGCCUACCAAGGCGACGGCGGGAUGCCGACCUGAGAGGGUGAGCGGACACACUGGGACUGAAACAAGGCCCAGACCACUAGGGGAGGGAGGAGUGGGGAAUAUUGUACAAUGGGAGCAAGGCUGAUGCAGCGAAGCCGCGUGGGGGAUGACGGGCUUGGGGUUGUAAACCUAUUUCAGCUCAGACGAAGCGCAAGUGACGGUAGGAGCAGAAGAAGCACCGGCCAACUACGUG